AUUACCGCGGCUGCUGGCACGUAAUUGGCCGGGGCUUAUUCGCAGGAGUAACGUCAUCCCCGAGGCUUUCCACUCCCCGGGUUAUUCUUCUCCUGCAAAAGGACUUUACAACCUUACGGCCUUCAUCGUCCACGCGGCGUCGCUCCGUUCAGGGUUUCCCCCAUAGCGGAAGAUUCUUAGCUGCUGCCUCCCGUAGG
rnacentral:rRNA from 1 species